rnacentral:rRNA from 1 species
CAGCCGCCACGGGAAUACAGAGGGUGCAAGCGUUAAUCGGAAUUACUGGGCGUAAAGCGCGCGUAGGUGGUUUGUUAAGUUGGAUGUGAAAGCCCCGGGCUCAACCUGGGAACUGCAUCCAAAACUGGCAAGCUAGAGUACGGUAGAGGGUGGUGGAAUUUCCUGUGUAGCGGUGAAAUGCGUAGAUAUAGGAAGGAACACCAGUGGCGAAGGCGACCACCUGGACUGAUACUGACACUGAGGUGCGAAAGCGUGGGGAGCAAACAGGAUUAGAUACCCCAGUAGUCCCUGUCUCUUAUAA